CUAAAAAAGUCGUUGUUUCAUUUUUUUUUCCUCUCUAAAUCUCAGAUCUCUGCCAUGAAAAACCUUUUCGUUUUCCUCUCUGAAUCUCAAAUUUGUGUCAUGAAAAAUCAUUUUGUUUUCCUCUCCCAAUCUCAAAUCUCUGUCGUGAAAACUCUUUUUUUCUCUCUAAAUCUCAGAUCUCCGUCCUUGGUUCGUUGACUACUUCGUUUCGACAUGUUGCCUCCGAGACCUUUCUCCUUCCCCUCUGAAACCAUGUUUGAAGAGGAUUCUCGGUGAACAUGCAAUGAUACCUUCCUUGUCGCUCUGACUUUCCCUUGUCGCUCUAACUUUCCCUUUGUUUAUCCUACAUGUGUACCGAAAUGCCCUUGAACAGAGAUACUACAUCCGGAGAAUGGUAGGGGCAUCAUCAGUCUGAGCACGGUAGGGGUGGCCGGUUGUUUCGGGUUUGCACACAUACCCUUAAAAGUUGUGUUGUGUACAUGAUUGUGUAUCCCUGAGUGCUAUGCUUACUGCUGCUAAGCCAAUCAGUUAGAAAGAGUUGUUAGAGUAUUUUAAGUUUAUGUGUUAAGUUUGUUGUAAAGAGAGCUUGUGUUGUAAAUAGAUUGCAAGAAGUUAAGUUAAUAAAGAAAAAGUAUUUGUUA